UACGGAGGUGGCAAGCGUUACUCGGAAUCAUUGGGUGUAAAGGGCAGGUAGGCGGCCUGUUAAGUGAGGGGUGAAAUCCCACGGCUCAAUCGUGGAACAGCCUUUCAUACUGGCAGGCUUGAGUGUGGUAGAGGGAAACGGAAUUAGCAGUGUAAGGGUGAAAUCUGUAGAUAUUGCUAAGAACACCAGCGGCGAAGGCGGUUUCCUGGACCACAACUGACGCUGAUCUGCGAAAGCUAGGGGAGCAAAC
rnacentral:rRNA from 1 species